AUGGCGAUUGAGCCUCUCCGUGACAAUCUGGACACCGUCACACCAACCGACCAACCAAACGAUGGUGAUUCCUCUUCCCAGCAGCAACUCACCAUGUACAACUAUGACCUGAGUGGUCCACCCUCUACAGUUCUUUCCCCAGCCAACCAAGCAAGCACAGAUCUGCUCGGUGGAGUCACUGGCCCUGGGUUGUGCAGUGUCAACAGCAGCCUUGGACAAAACCAAUUUCAGAUCGGCGCAGGGUGUAGCCCUGAGCACCGCCAGAUCAGAUCAAACGAUGCUCUUCACUACAUAAGCCAGAUGCUAAUGGAAGACGUCGACGAGAGGGUCGACAUAUGCCAAGGGGAGGCAGCUAUCCAGGCUACUGAGCAGCCAUUCCGUGACAUUCUUGGACAGGUAUACACACCGGCUUUGUAUAGCAACAACAAACAAGACAGCCCUGAUAAGAGUGGGACCAGCUGUUACAAGAGGCUCUGGAGCACUAGCUUCAGUAAUGACUGUUCCAGUUACAGCUUGGUACAGCCCUUGACAACCCCGUUGAGUCCAGAUAUUUGCAAUAGGAGUCUUUCUCAACCAAACCAGCCAUUGAUAAGUGUUGGAUGGACUUCUGGAUCUGGCUUCCCUAACUUGCAUCGUCAGAGAAGUGUCGACGAGGAAAAUAUAUUUGCUCCAAGUAUUGAUAACGUGGUGAUAUGUUUCAAGAAUGACAUACUACAUAUUUCCCAACUGACUACGAAGGCAAAAGUAGGAGAGAGGGGUGAAAACACAAUCUUUGAGGUGGCAGACCAAAGGGGCUGGGGUAUCUUUCAAGGAAGGAGCAAUAAACAUCAUGCCAUCACCACUUGUGCAAUAAUUCGAAAUGAAAAUUUCGACCGAGUUCUGCUAUGCUAUGGUCGUUCCGACCAAAUAAGAAGACUGCGGGAAAGGAUGGCAGAGACAGGAAGCAAUAACACACUGAAAGGCUGGAGCAAAGGGCGUCAGAAGCUAUGGGCUAGGAAGCAACAGAGGCAAGAGUUCGUUGAUAUCAGGGCUCUCCUCUUCCAGUGCGCACAAGCUGUGGCAGAAGACAACCACCUGUUCGCCAAUGAACUUCUAAAGAAGAUAAGAGAACACUCCUCAGCAGAUGGUGAUUGUACUCAGAGACUAGCAUUUUACUUGGCAGAUGGCCUCGCGGCACGCUUGGCUGGGACUGGGGGUCAGGUUUAUCGCAACCUCAUGGAGAGGCGAACAAGUAGAACAGAUUGGUUAGUUGCGUACAGUCUUUUUCAUGCAUCCUGCCCUUUCGACAGGACGUCACACUACUUUGCCAGCCAAGCAAUUCUUGGUGUUUCACAAGGGCAACCAAGGGUGCACAUCGUUGAUUUCGGUAUCGGCUUCGGCCUUCAGUGGCCAUUAAUGAUUCAGAGGUUUUCACAGCAAGAAGAGGGAGCCCCUAAGCUUCGGAUCACAGGUAUAGACAUUCCCCAGCCAGGUUUACACCCCUGCGAAAUGAUUGAGGAGACAGGGAAGCGGUUGGCUGAUUAUGCAAACAUGUUCAAGGUACCUUUUCAGUAUCAGGGCAUUGCAGCUUCAAGAUGGGAGACCAUCAAAAUUGAGGAUCUUAACAUUGACGAGGAUGAAGUUCUCAUAAUCAACUGCAUAUUCCGGAUGAAGAAUCUUGGUCAUGAAACCGCAGGAAUAAAUAGCGCAAGGGAUGAGGUAAUGAAAACUAUGAGGAGGAUGAACCCAAAGAUUUUUAUUUCUGGCACAAUGAAUGGGUUACACAGUUCUCCCUUCUUCAUACAACGAUUCAAAGAGGUUAUGCUCCAUUACUCUCCAAUGUUUGAUAUGCUUGAUGCAAAUGUUCCACGGGAUAAUAAGGCAAGAAAGAUGAUUGAGAGGAUCCGAUUUGGGACAGAUGCACUUAAUAUCAUAGCAUGUGAGGGCGCAGACAGAACUGAGAGGCCAGAAAGUUACAGGCAGUGGCAAGCAAGAUUUCUCAAGGCUGGGUUCCAGCAGCUUCCUGUGGAUCCAGCCUUCUUGAAAAGAGUACACAUGAACAACUCACAUUAUCACAAGGAAUUCUUUGCUGUUGAAGAUCGCGGUUGGCUGCUACAAGGAUGGAAAGGGAGAGUACUUUAUGCUAUAUCUAAAUGGAAGCCUAAUGAAACAUACGAUGAUCAGUAA
rnacentral:rRNA from 1 species